GACGAACGCUGGCGGCGUGCUUAACACAUGCAAGUCGAACGGAAAGGCCCUGCUUUUGUGGGGUGCUCGAGUGGCGAACGGGUGAGUAACACGUGAGUAACCUGCCCUUGACUUUGGGAUAACUUCAGGAAACUGGGGCUAAUACCGGAUAGGAGCUCCUGCUGCAUGGUGGGGGUUGGAAAGUUUCGGCGGUUGGGGAUGGACUCGCGGCUUAUCAGCUUGUUGGUGGGGUAGUGGCUUACCAAGGCUUUGACGGGUGGCCGGCCUGAGAGGGUGACCGGCCACAUUGGGACUGAGGUACUGCCCAGCCUCCUACGGGAGGCAGCAGUGGGGUAUAUUGCACGAUGGGCGGAAGCCUGAUGCAGCAACGCCGCGUGCGGGAUGCCGUCCUUCGGGUUGUAUUCCUCUUUCGCCUGUGACGAAGCGUGAGUGACGGUAAUGGGUAAAGAAGCACCGGCUAACUACUUG
rnacentral:rRNA from 1 species